rnacentral:tRNA from 1 species
GCCUGGGUGGCUCAGUCGGUUAAGUGUCUGACUUCGGCUCAGGUCAUGAUCUUGCGGUUCGUGGGUUCAAGCCCCACGUCAGGCU